AGUCUGUGGCUGAGACAGGUGGCCAAGGAACAGGAUGAAUCUGCUGGGAGCUUUUGGAAGCAAUCUUGUGAGCAAGAUUCCUAAUUCUAUUUGACAGAUGUGGAAUUGCAGUUCAUAGACGUUAAUUUCCCUGAAGUAGUGCAGUGAGUGUUGAAGUUGGGACUUGAACCAGUGAUGGCCUGCCUUCCUGGAGCCUCAGGUGAAGUCUCUCACUGGCCAAUUUAGAUACAUACUUCCUCCGUUCAACCUAAGAGAGAAACUCUCAUAUACAUGAAGAAUGAUUAUUCAGGGAAGAUUUUUGGAAAACAGCCUCAAUGUCUGAUUUACCCUGUGCACUGUGGUUUGGUCCUGUUCUCUGGACUCUGUCACCAAAAUUCACCAGGCGAAUGACAUAUCACUGAGAAACAUAUAGCUCAUAAGGCAAAGUGAGAGAGGAGAGAAGAGGAUCUUCUGCUCCCAUUGAGGAAAAAUCUGAAGAUACCCCAGUGUGCCAGGAAAGAACUCAUGAGGAGAGAACAACAAAAACAGAAGCAACGUCAAGAAAUCAGAUAAUCAGAUCUAAGGGGCUCAGGAGACUCCAGAGGAGAGGUCUGGGAAGCUUUGCGGAGGAGGAGAGACGCCAAGGACCAAGGACCAUCCAGGAAACCGACCCCCCUUGAAUGUCUGCUCUCUAACUUUUCCGAUUUUCUCAAAAGGUCCUGUAAUUAUGGGAAGCCAG